GAGCAGCAGAGUGAAAGUCUGUGUCCUCAGUGAUCACUGCAGUAGAUUUGGCUGGUGUGGCUGGUUAGGUGAAUUUUUCAUCUUUCCUCACAACUUCUGCAAACCUUGCAAAGCUGCACGCUGAAACAAAAAGUACCAUGCUCUGCUCAGGCACAGCGGUGUCUCCUUCUAGAUCCUCCAAACAAGAGUAAAGUCUGUUUUUAGAACAAAGAGCAGUCAAGCCUCCAAGUCUUGAGACACAUCCAAAUGAGGGUCUGUAUACUGCAAUUUGCCUUUCAUU
rnacentral:snRNA from 1 species